rnacentral:lncRNA from 1 species
UGUAAUUUUGGACUUUGAGGACCUCCCUGCAAUUUUGUAAAAUAUGGGACUGGACUGCAAUUUUAAAAAUAGAACUAAAAAAACAUAAAGAUUGGACAGUUUGGACUUAAAUGCAAUUUUAAAAAGUUGAAGGAUUAAAAUGCAAAGUAAAAAUAAAAAUGAAUUAAAAUAUGUAAUUUGACUAAACGUAAAGCGAAACAAAAAUAAAACUGACAAAACGGACUAAAACGAACCAAUGGCCUAAAUGAGGUACUUCAAAGUAACCUCUCUAUGCCGAAAUUUCGUGUGAAAUGACCAAAA